GGCACGGUGGCAUAGUGGUUAGCACUGUUGCCUCUCAGCGAAAAGGUUGUGGGUUCGAAUCCGGCUUAGGGCCU